AUUGAACGCUGGCGGCAGGCCUAACACAUGCAAGUCGAACGCGUGGCGGACGGGUGAGUAAUGUCUGGGAAACUGCCCGAUGGAGGGGGAUAACUACUGGAAACGGUAGCUAAUCCCGAUUACCAUCCGCUGUGCCCAUAUGGGAUUAGCUAGUAGGUUGGGUAAAGGCUCACCUAGUCGACGAUCCCUAGCUGGUCUGAGAGGAUGACCAGCCACACUGGAACUGAGACACGGUCCAGAAUCCUACGGGAGGCAGCAGUGGGGAAUAUUGCACAAUGGGCGCAAGCCUGAUGCAGCCAUGCCGCGUGUAUGAAGAAGGCCUUCGGGUUGUAAAGUACUUUCAGCGGGGAGGCGUUACCCGCAGAAGAAGCACCGGCUAACGCCGUGCCAGCAGCCGCGGUAAUUC
rnacentral:rRNA from 1 species